rnacentral:rRNA from 1 species
UUCGCCCUUAGAGUUUGAUCCUGGCUCAGGACGAACGCUGGCGGCGCGCCUAACACAUGCAAGUCGAACGAGCGAGAGAGAGCUUGCUUUCUCGAGCGAGUGGCGAACGGGUGAGUAACGCGUGAGGAACCUGCCUCAAAGAGGGGGACAACAGUUGGAAACGACUGCUAAUACCGCAUGAGCCCACGACCCGGCAUCGGGUAGAGGGAAAAGGAGCAAUCCGCUUUGAGAUGGCCUCGCGUCCGAUUAGCUAGUUGGUGAGGUAACGGCCCACCAAGGCGACGAUCGGUAGCCGGACUGAGAGGUUGAACGGCCACAUUGGGACUGAGACACGGCCCAGACUCCUACGGGAGGCAGCAGUGGGGAAUAUUGCACAAUGGGGGAAACCCUGAUGCAGCGACGCCGCGUGGAGGAAGAAGGUCUUCGGAUUGUAAACUCCUGUUGUUGAGGAAGAUAAUGACGGUACUCAACAAGGAAGUGACGGCUAACUACGUGCCAGCAGCCGCGGUAAAACGUAGGUCACAAGCGUUGUCCGGAAUUACUGGGUGUAAAGGGAGCGCAGGCGGGAAGACAAGUUGGAAGUGAAAUCCAUGGGCUCAACCCAUGAACUGCUUUCAAAACUGUUUUUCUUGAGUAGUGCAGAGGUAGGCGGAAUUCCCGGUGUAGCGGUGGAAUGCGUAGAUAUCGGGAGGAACACCAGUGGCGAAGGCGGCCUACUGGGCACCAACUGACGCUGAGGCUCGAAAGUGUGGGUAGCAAACAGGAUUAGAUACCCUGGUAGCCCACACUGUAAACGAUGAUUACUAGGGGUUGGAGGAUUGCCCCCUUCAGUGCCGCAGUUAACACAAUAAGUAAUCCACCUGGGGAGUACGACCGCAAGGUUGAAACUCAAAGGAAUUGACGGGGGCCCGCACAAGCAGUGGAGUAUGUGGUUUAAUUCGACGCAACGCGAAGAACCUUACCAAGUCUUGACAUCCUGCGACGCACAUAGAAAUAUGUGUUUCCUUCGGGACGCAGAGACAGGUGGUGCAUGGUUGUCGUCAGCUCGUGUCGUGAGAUGUUGGGUUAAGUCCCGCAACGAGCGUAACCCCUAUGUUCAGUAGCCAGCAGGUAAAGCUGGGCACUCUGGACAGACUGCCGGGGAUAACCCGGAGGAAGGCGGGGAUGACGUCAAAUCAUCAUGCCCCUUACGGCCUGGGCUACACACGUGCUACAAUGGCGUAAACAAAGGGAAGCGAGAGGGUGACCUGGAGCGAAUCCCAAAAAUAACGUCCCAGUUCGGACUGUAGUCUGCAACCCGACUACACGAAGCUGGAAUCGCUAGUAAUCGCGAAUCAGCAUGUCGCGGUGAAUACGUUCCCGGGUCUUGCACUCACCGCCCGUCA